GACGAACGCUGGCGGCGUGCCUAAUACAUGCAAGUCGAGCGAUGAUUAAAGAUAGCUUGCUAUUUUUAUGAAGAGCGGCGAACGGGUGAGUAACGCGUGGGAAAUCUGCCGAGUAGCGGGGGACAACGUUUGGAAACGAACGCUAAUACCGCAUAACAAUGAGAAUCGCAUGAUCCUUAUUUGAAAGAAGCAAUUGCUUCACUACUUGAUGAUCCCGGGUUGUAUUAGCUAGUUGGUAGUGUAAAGGACUACCAAGGCGAUGAUACAUAGCCGACCUGAGAGGGUGAUCGGCCACACUGGGACUGAGACACGGCCCAGACUCCUACGGGAGGCAGCAGUAGGGAAUCUUCGGCAAUGGGGGCGACCCUGACCGAGCAACGCCGCGUGAGUGAAGAAGGUUUUCGGAUCGUAAAACUCUGUUGUUAGAGAAGAACGUUAAGUAGAGUGGAAAAUUACUUAAGUGACGGUAUCUAACCAGAAAGGGACGGCUAACUACGUGCCAGCCGCCGCCGUAA
rnacentral:rRNA from 1 species